rnacentral:rRNA from 1 species
UACGAAGGGGGCUAGCGUUGCUCGGAAUCACUGGGCGUAAAGCGCACGUAGGCGGCUUUCUAAGUCAGGGGUGAAAUCCUGGAGCUCAACUCCAGAACUGCCUUUGAUACUGGAGAGCUAGAGUCCGGAAGAGGUGAGUGGAACUGCGAGUGUAGAGGUGAAAUUCGUAGAUAUUCGCAAGAACACCUGCGGCGAAGGCGGGUUGCUGGGCCGACACUGACGCUGAGGCGCGAAAGCUAGGGGAGCGAACGGG